UAUGAGGAUAUUUAAAUGGCCGCGGUAUUUUGACCGUGCGAAGGUAGCAUAAUCAUUAGUCUUUUGAUUGAAGGCUGGUAUGAAUGGUUGGACGAGAAAAUUUCUGUCUCUAUUAUAUAUUUUGAAUUUUAUUUUUAAGUGAAAAAGCUUAGAUAUUUUUGGGGGACGAUAAGACCCUAUGGAUCUUUAUAAUGACAGGUAGUGAAAAGUUUAGUUGUCACAGCUUAUUAUCUUUAGUUAUUGAGUUGGGGCGACUGGAAGAAAUGAUUAUCUCUUCUUAAAUUUAAAUACUUAUGUUUAGAAAUAAAUUGACCCUUAAUUUUGGUCUAUAAGACUAAGUUACCCUAGGGAUAACAGCGUAAUCUUUUUGGAGAGUUCAUAUCGAUGAAAAGGUUUGCGACCUCGAUGUUGGAUUAAGAGAUCCUUACGGCGUAGCCGUUGUAAUGGAAAGUCUGUUCGACUUUUAAAUUCUU
rnacentral:rRNA from 1 species